GACGAACGCUGGCGGCGUGCUUAACACAUGCAAGUCGAACGGAAAGGCCCUGCUUUUGUGGGGUGCUCGAGUGGCGAACGGGUGAGUAACACGUGAGUAACCUGCCCUUGACUUUGGGAUAACUUCAGGAAACUGGGGCUAAUACCGGAUAGGAGCUCCUGCUGCAUGGUGGGGGUUGGAAAGUUUCGGCGGUUGGGGAUGGACUCGCGGCUUAUCAGCUUGUUGGUGGGGUAGUGGCUUACCAAGGCUUUGACGGGUAGCCGGCCUGAGAGGGUGACCGGCCACAUUGGAACUGAGAUACGGCCCAGACUCCUAGGGGAGGAAGCAGUGGGGAAUAUUGCACAAUGGGCGGAAGCCUGAUGCAGCAACGCCGCGUGCGGGAUGACGGCCUUCGGGUUGUAAACCGCUUUCGCCUGUGACGAGGCGUGAGUGACGGUAAUGGGUAAAGAAGCACCGGCUAACUACGU
rnacentral:rRNA from 1 species